rnacentral:tRNA from 2 species
CGCAGAGUGGAGCAGCGGUAGCUCGGCGGGCUCAUAACCCGUAGGUCGUAGGUUCGAGUCCUACCUCUGCAA